GCGGAUAUGGCGGAAUUGGCAGACGCGCUAGGUUCAGGUCCUAGUGAUCGCAAGGUCGUGGAGGUUCGAGUCCUCUUAUCCGCACCA
rnacentral:tRNA from 1 species